rnacentral:rRNA from 1 species
UUGAUAUAUAAUUAAAGGGCCGCGGUAAUUUGACCGUGCAAAGGUAGCAUAAUCAUUAGCUUUUUAAUUGAAAGCUGGAAUGAACGGCUAGAUGAGAAAUUAACUGUCUUUUUAUACAAGUAAGAAAUUAACUUUUAAGUGAAAAGGCUUAGAUUUUUUGGAGGGACGAUAAGACCCUGUAAAACUUGAUAUCUAUUUUUAUUAAAAUAUAAAUUUAAAUCGUUUAAUUUGUUUGAUAAAUUAUAUAUUUUGUUGGGGAGACAUAGAUAUAAAUAACUAUUAAAUAACUGUCUGUUAAAAAUUGUAUAUUUAUUUUUAGGUUUAAGAUCCUUUUAUAGAGAUUGAAAGAAUAAGUUACUUCAGGGAUAACAGCGUAAUUCUCUUUGAGAGUUCUUAUCGACAAGAGUAGUUGCGACCUCGAUGUUGAAUUAAGGUUUCAGAAAGGGGUAGCCGUUUUUCUAGAAGGUCUGUUCGACCUUUAAAAUCUUACAUGAUUUGAGUUCAGACCGGCGCCAG